AUGGAAGCAUCUGAUCCUCAAGAAUGUAGUAAGCCUGCCGAAAGAAUUGUCUCUAGUCCUGAGUUGGAGGCAGAUACAACCGGUAGGGAAUUGAAGGAAAAUCUUGAAGAGCAAAGGGAGCAGUCAAGUGAAGCUUUCUCUGAUAUUAAAUGUAGAAGAGGCAGGCGUAAAGUAAGUUCCAACGACAAUCGAGCAGCAUGUGAACUUAAAAUUGCAUCGCCACAAUCUGCUAAGAACUCCAAGAAAGAAGACAGUGCUUCCAAAAAUGAGAGUUUAACGGAAGUUAUCGAUGUCCCCGAAGACAAACCCAGGAGAGGAAGGCGCAAAACAAGUGCUAGCUCUACAGACACUGAGGCACCUAAAAAUGAUGCAAUGGAGAAUGAAAAUCUGGUAGAUCUUGAGCUUCCUAGUACCAAUCCAAAUGAAGAUAUUGUAGGGUUACCUAACACACUAAUCUCAGACAGUAAACUCAGGAGUGGGCGACGUAAAAUAAGUGUUACCUCAGUUGCACGGUCUUCUGUAACUCAAAAAGUAGACUCUGUAUUGACAAGUUCUAAAGAGCAAAAGAUAAUUCAGCCAGCCUUAGAAUUUUCACCUAGGAGAGGAAGGCGGAAACUAAGCGACCAUCCUAUAGACAGUUUAAGUGGACCUGUAGCUCCAAGUUCAGAGGAGAGUGAUACUAGCAUUGUCAAUUCCAAAAAGGCUAGUCUUGCAGACAUUACCUCCAAGAAUAGUAGACGUAAAACAAGCGUUUCUUUGCUGGAAAAUAACGCACCUGAAUCACAAGAGAUAAGCGACUCAAAAGUACCACAGGAAUGUGAUGUUGAAACUUCAGGGAUAAAACGCCGCAGUGGAAGAACACGGUCAAGUGCCAGUCUUUCUGAUAAUACCCCUGAAAAAAUCGACACAACUCCGUCAAAAAGUGCCACAAAAUCUGAAACAAAUGACCAGCCAGAAUUGAAAGCUCAAAUUGCAGAGACUAAGCUUAGGCGAACAAACAGAAAAAUUAGUUUCACUGAAAAUGUACCUGAACCUUUAGAUGCUCAACAAAGUAUAUCCAGUGAGUUGGAAACUUCUUUGUUAGAAGAUUCUGAUUGCAAAUUGCGCAGCGGAAAAAGAAAAAAUAGUCGUUCUGACAGCCUUUCUUCUGAAAAAAUGGAAUCUCCACAUACUUUCUCUGAUAAUUCAAGCGCUCAGAUUUCCGGAAGAAUGUCAUUAAGAGGAAAACGAACAUCUAGUGGAAGUUCCACCGAUGGAAAAAAUAUUCCCUUAGUAGCUGAACUCCAAACCUCGAAAAGUAAAAAACCAGUAAAAUCUGCUGCAACUGGCGAGGAGAGGCCUAAAAAGGGUAGGCGAAACAAAUUAGAGUCCAUUCACAAGGUAGACAAAAUAGAUGUGAAUAUUUCUGAAGACAAUCUAAUCUCAGAGGGACCGAGAACUCGUCGUCAAUCUUCAGGAAUGCAAUCCGAAAAUUUUAAACCCCUCGUCAACAGGAGAAGGAAAAUGUCUGUCAAAGACAAAUCAGAGUGUCAGGCGAUUGAAACUGUUGUUUUACCAGAAAAGGCAGAAUCAAAGAAGGAUCAGCCACCCACGAAGCUGCGAGGAGAAUUGUCCCAACAAGCUGCUGCUUCAUUGGAAACUCCUUUGAAAUCAACAAUAAAAGAAAUGGAACUGAAAAAUCACAGUGAUGAUGAACCAGCCGGUGUCACUGCCUCUGUUGUGGCGAAACCCUGGUCGUUUGAUAGAAGAAAAUCAAAAACUAGUUCUGAAGUUGAAGAGAGUAAAUCAGAAGUAACCUUCGAUUCAGCUUCAAAAACAAGUGACACUGAAAAUUCUCCAGAAAAAUCGAAACCAGAAGUUGAUUCUGAAGAAUCAAGCUCAGAUUUUGAUGUGUCAUCAGACAGCGAUGACGAGGAAGACUCGGAAGAAACGUUGUCUGCCUCAACAAAUGGGAGUGGCAACUCAGAUCUGGAUAUCUCAUCAGACUCGGACGAUGAAGAAGGUGGCCGAGAUGAAGUCCUUCCUAAAAAACGAGAAGGUUCAAUGUCACCUGAAACCGGAAGUGAUUCCGAUUCCAGCUCUGAAUCAUCUUCGGAGAGUGACGAUGAAAGCCGGGUGUCAAGUCCCGCCUCUCCCAAAAGGACAACUCCCACCAAAGGGGUUGUAACAAAAAAAGAUGAAUCAGAGGAAAAACCAGCCAGUAACACUAAACUGGUGCCCUCAGCUAAGUCCACCACUAACAUCAAAACAGCAUCUCCGUCCAAGUCUGUCAUUAAUACCAGAAUAACAUCCCCUGCCAAAAACAUCCUCAGCACGAGAGUCGAAACUCCAGAGAAACUGAGUCAAAUCAGACUUUCAGUAGAAUCACCUGCCAAACCACCUGAAGAUGAUAGCUCCAAAUCUUUUCGCUUUUACAGCGUCAGCUCUGAUUUGAAUCUCUCUUCAGAAAGUGAUGAAGAGGACAACAAGCCUUCGCAAACCCCAAUUAAAGCUGGCAAGAGUCAAAAUGUAGGGUUGAAUCUAUCAUCAGAGAGCGAAGACUCCUCAUCUGGGAGUGAGGGAGAACCCAGUACAUCGGCAGCGUCCGAGGGAAAAGUGAGCACCUCUAACACAACCGUAGAUGACAGCUCGGUCAACAUGACUGCAGAAAAUGUUUCUGAAACGGCUCUUUCUGCUCAGUUAGAAGAUAUCGUUGAAGAAAAACCAAUAGAGGAUGAUCUUCUGGAAAUCAAGACUUCAAGCUCUGAUCAAGCUAAGGACAGCGAUUCACCUCUCAGUAUUCAAACGAAUGCUGUUGAACCCUACGCCGUCGCUAAGAGCUCAUCAGUGCCAUCUUCUAAUGAAUUACUAACCCAAGUAGUUGACCCAAACCAAGCAGCAGUCCAAAGCAUUUUACAGUUUGCCGAUAAUAGCGAAGAAACUUAUUGCCCCGAAGAGAUGCCCACAGGGCUCAUCACUCCAAGUCAGCCAGCCCCGGAAUUGUCUCACCCUAUCGUUGAGCUGAGUGAAGUUGAAAGAAAGCUUGCAGAGGCCAGUGAAUUAAUUGCAAGUCAGACAUCAUCCCCAUUUGUCGACGCUGUGUAUUUUGGGAGGCAGAAGGAAAUUGUCCCAGGGAAUGCUACAUCCACUCCCGUUACACAUCUUAUCGUUCCUACAGGAGACUAUGAGCUGGACAACGCAGUAAGAUCCAUAACGUUUGACAAUACGUACAGCGAAACAGAUUAUGCCGUUUCAAUGUUGCAUGAAAGCUACAGCAUGGAUUAUUACUCCGCUACUGAGUACCAAACUGCUCCAGAAUUUGGAGAUUCCACAAAUAGCUCCAAAGUUCCACCGCUGAGCGCUCCAUUUGAGCUUGACAAGCAAUUAAUCAACGAAACAUCCGUUGCAGUGUCAGCUCUAGAGUCGGAAGUAUUUAGUAUUGAAGAACCUGUAUUUGAGAUUCCAGUGGUCUCAAGUAUUGACAAAUCUUUGUAUACAAAGAGUCCCGUAUUUAAGUCCUCAGGAGAUACUGCAAAACAGUCUACUGAACCAACCAUAUGCUCAAAAACCGUGGUCUCAGAAUCUUUGGCUUCCAAAACUAUUGAAAGUGAAUCAAAAACUGAUCAUUCAAAAUUAUCCUCUGAGCCAUCAACAAACCUGUUGACUGAGGCAACUGAAAUUUUAGUGGCUAAAACUUUGACUGGAACUGGAAAAGUUGCAAAUGACAGUCAGGUAGUUAUGGGCUCAACAAGCUCCAAAAAGGAUGAAAUUAAUCAGCAGACAUAUGAAGGAGCCGGUAACAAUGAAACGCUACCCGCCAUGAUUUCAACAUUCAUUGUGCCUAUGACUGACCCAGCAACCUUAACAGAACUUAGAGAAAAUCAAAAGUCGGUCACUGAAACAGACACACGAUCUCAGCAGCAGUAUGAUUCAAAAAAGAGGAUUCCUAAAACAGAAGAUCUUGCCAAAUCGGACGUUUUAAAAGAAUCUUCAGCUGACAAAUCAACUUGUGAAGUGGUCAUUAAGAAUUCUACAAAUUGCGCAAAACUCCCUUGCAAAGAUUCACUUUCACAAGAAUUUACACCAGAAGACAAAGGAGCUUCAGCUGUCCCCUCCAUUGCCUCCUCGGGAAGUGAAAUUCUCCAGCCAAAAUUACCAAACACUCCUGUAAUUAUAGCAGAAACUUCAGCAGUUACCCUUUCACCUAAAACUGACACAACUUUGACUCAUGUCAUUGAAUCCCCUGAGAAAUUUCUUCCCAAAAUUUCUCUAGAACAGGCUGUGGCUGCAACUUCGACCGUGUCUCGAAUUCAAUCAAAAUUGGAAGCCGAAAUAACCAAACCUGUAGAAGCAGGCACCAGUUUAGCUGAGUCUCCAAAUAAGUUUUUAUCGAAAAUUUCCUUAGAACAAGCUGUUGCUGCUACCGCAGCUGUAUCUCAUGUGCUCCUUGAAACCGAACCAGAAACUACAAUUUCUUCUGUAGGAACUUCUCAUCUAGGAAUGAAGUCACCUGAAUCUCAAUUUAGAAAAUGUCUGGUGUCAAAUGAAGAUGUGUCGGAAAAAGGUGCGACAAACCCCAAUGAUUCACACCUAACACCCUCCGAAAAUGUUGUGGAAUGUGCGAAUAACAUAGGCUCAUUAGACAUUAUCAAAUCCCUAAAAACAAGCUCUCCAUCUUCAGUUUCGAAAAAUGUAUCAGGUUUCCCAUGUCCCUCUCAACGAGUAAUGGAACUUGAAAUCAGAGAACAAUCAGUCGGCAUAUCUAUCUCUCAGCAGGAAGUCAUCGCGAAAGUUGCAGAGCAGCCAAUUUGUGAACCGGUAUCAGUUUUAGAAUCAUCCUCAAAGACAAAGCAGAGUGAAAUUUCCUUAUCAAAUAUUCCAGAAAGAGAUAUAGAGGCACUGUCAGAAACUCAGUCAAAGAGCAAUGUACGUGAAGAAAUUCAGAAAGAAACGCCUGCAUCAUCCCAACUUCAAUCAGAAAUCAUACUCAACGCAAAUCCUGAGCCAACUGCCGUUUCUUUUGUUGAUCGCCUUGCGCAGCAAAAUCCUGAUAACUGCUCUGUUGAAAUUCAGAAUAAAGUCAUCAGGGAAAGUGUUAGUGAACCAACAACCUCCAGGUCUCAAACAGAGCCGCUAUCCGCAACCAAAAAUGAUAUUAUCGGUAGGUUAAGACCAGAUGUGUCCAACUUAGAUACUGAUUCCUCUUGUGUUGAAUCACCAAAAAACCCUCCCUCAGACUUUCUGUCACAAAGUGACAUGCCCGUCGAAAGUGAAGCAUUACAAACGAUUUUACCUAUUAUAACGAGAAAGGCUCAGCAAAUAGAAAAUUCUUGCCUAAAAGCAAACGUGCUUGCUGAACCUCAGCCAGAUCACUCAGCAACUCUCAGCGAAGUAGGUGCGACCAAAUUGAUCGCUUCAUCAGAACCCAAAGUUUUUGUUGAAAGUCUGACCGAGGAUGCCCCACAAAAAUCGACUGCGGUUACAACUGCAUCAGAAGAAUCCUCACGUGAUUUACAGCCUCCUACAUCAGAAAACCUCGUCAAAUCUCAGCUCAAGUCUGCACCUUUAAUUAGUACUGAAACAAAUGAGACGUCAGCCGCUCUAUCCCAAUCGAGAGAAUUAUCACUUGAAGAAAUUUCAGACACUCCACUGGCCGAAUUCGCCCAUAAGGUGGACAAUAGGACUUUGUCAAAGGAAAGUGUGAUUCUUCCUUCAGUCCUCCAGGAAAAUAUUAUCACUGCCUCUAAACAGUCGUCUAUCACCCAAGAUUGCCAUACUACGAUGCGUUUAGAAUCAAAACUGGGACCCAAUUCAGUAGCCAAAGAAGAAUUAAUGGAACUUCCUGCUGCCGGACCAUCAACAAUAUCGGCACACUUUGCAUCAAGUGCUGAGCUAAAAACAGCAGAAACUUUGCAUCAACUUUUAAAUGCAACUGAACUGCAAGUUGGAAGUAUGGAAAUUGAUCAAUUGUCUAAGAAUGAGAACAAGAACCUAGACCCAGAAAACCCAACCACUAUGGAGCUUGAAAUAGCCAUAAAUGAGCAGUCAUCCACUGAAGUUACUCGGCAUCUUGAGACGAUUGAAAAGAAUGCCAAUGUUGAAUUGGAACCUUCUCAGUCAAGUGUUACUGAGCCUGAAACCCCUCUGCAUUCCGCGAACUUCAAUAUAAAUCAGGCCUCAGUAGAAAUUUCCUGUUGCAAUGCGAAUGUUGAUCAUUCAGAACACUCCUCCGCAGUUAUUAAAGAAUCCUCGAGUGAAAGCACUGCAAACAUCUCAGAAAAUCAGCUGCCAUUGGUUAAUUCAGAUUUAGAGAGUGCGAAGACGAAGAACUUAUCGAUGGAAACUUCCAACCUUGAAGCUAGCACUGAUGAAGAGGAAUUAUUUGUCAACAUUGAAGCAGAAAUUAUGUGUAACAGUAUCACAAAAACCUCUGAAAAUCCGAAGCUCCUCACUACAAACCACUCCAAAUUUGUCGAGCCUGAAUCCACAAAUAUGUUUGAAAAUCCUGUUUGUCUAUCUACAACAAAAGCUGAUGAGAAAUGUGGGAGUGCUCUAGAUGCUGAUAUUCGUGAAGAAACUGAUUUUCCAAAGCCAGAAACCAAAUCGGACACAGGUACUUCCACGGUAUCUAAUUUUGUUGAAAAUCCAUGUUCUUCACCCGAAGAAACACAGGAGUUACUGAAGGAUACUGAGACCAUUGCAAAAACCAACACAUCCCAGAUCAACUCUCAAGCCAAUUACCGAGACGGGAUUACAACGCAUGAUGUGGAUAUUUCUGGAAAAUCUUUCGUAAAGAAACUCAUUGCUCAAAACAUUGAAACGAAUGUCGAAGGAUCCCUUCCUUCAGUACAUGAUGGUGCUGAAAUUGCAUUUUUAGUUUCAGAACCGGCUCAUCGAGAAGUGGAUCUUCAGUCUCCAAUCGUUGUGCGGCAAGAACAAGAUGAUUUUCAGGAAUCAGAUAAGAAUAUUUCUGUCUCUGCUACUUAUUCAGAAUCAUUUAAAGAAACUUCUGAUAUUCAAACAAGUGAGCUCGACUUUUCUUUGAGGUCUCCACAAAAAUCACCGUGUGAAACUUCGUGUACCAAUUCUGACGGUCAAAUAAACCCGAGCGAAGAAUGCCUAAGUAUCCUUUCACAGACUGUCGAACAAUCAGAAUUCAGUGCAAAGACUAGCUCCAGCACUCCUCACUAUGAUCCUAAAAUUGACACUAUCUCUUCAAAUACUUCUCCCGAGCAACGGUAUUCUAAUGUUGAGGAUCGUCUUCCAUUUGAUAUCACAUUCAAUUCCUCUCAAGUCUCGUCACAAGAGCCUCUUUCCGACUCUAAGCAGCCAGUCUUGGAAAGUUUAAUUCAUGAAGCAGUUUUGGAAAAUGAGACUCUUCCUAAGGCUGUCAAAUCAGGUGAAAUGAUGACAGACUUUACUGUGGACUCAGGACCAAUAUCUGGUGAGGAUGUGUCGAUAACCAGACCAUCUAGUGAUUCUAAAAUUGAGCCAUGUACAUUACUUGAUCAGGGAGAGCAAUCCAAAAAUCUGACUUCUAGCCCAAUCGAUAUCCAAAUUGAAUCAGAAUCUGAGCUGAAUAUCCAUGCAGUUCCUAGUCAAGUCCAAACAGAGACUGAUUUGGAAAUAUCUACCGUAGAAACUUCAAGAAAGUUAAAUGAUGAAUCAGAAACAUCAACCGUUCUGAAUGAAGCUCGACAAGAAACUGAGAAGACUGUUUCAACCAACAAUGAUCGCAAUACUCCCAAUCCUGCAUCGAUUAUACCUGAUGAUGCGAAUCAAUUCUCAUCAAAAGCAAGUACCAUUCUCUCUGAAGCUCUAAUCGAACGUAAAACUGAAUCGGACGUUUCUGAGAAUUCAAGCAACAUUUCAUCUUUUGAAAAUCAAGGAAAAAGUCCUUCCGUUGAAAUUUCGGUGUCAUCAAGAACUGAAGUGGACAUCGCAGAAUUCGUAGAAGACACUCACCUAGGAGGUCAAACUGUAUCAUCUCCCAUCGAAAAUUCAUCGAAUGUUGACGGUCAACCGAACAUCUCAGAAGUCCCUACUAACAUUCAGUCGGAAAAUGAAACAGAAGUUUUGCCUUUUACAUCUCAAAUUGAAACCAACUCUGAAUCAAAUUCUACAUUCAUAUCAGAUGAUCAACAGUUGAUAGAGAACUCAGAGUCAACUAUCGGAAAUGUUCAAACCCUUUCAGAAAAAGAGCCGCAAUCAAGACCACAAAUUCCUCUUUCUGAAACUGAGGUAAAACUAGAAAGUGAACUGACAAUCAAUCUCAUUGCAAGUGAUCCUCCAAGGAAAGAUUCAUUGCGAACCACCUCCACCAAAGCUCCGGUCGAAAUAGAGACCUCACCAAACAUAAAUCAGCUUUCCAUUAAUGUCCCAUCAGAAGAACAGACAAAGAAGUCUUCCAAUGACGCUCGAGCUGAAUUACGAAGCGAAUCAGGUUUCUCAGAUACUGGUGUCAUCAAAGGCAACUCUCGACAAAACAAAGAAACAUUUAACAGCACUGAGAUAGUCGCAGAAAGGAAAAAUAAUGAGACGGACAGCUUUGAAAGUUUAAGUAAGACACUGCCUAAAUGCCCUAGAGAAAAGUCUUCAGUGAAAGCUCUAGAUGAAAUUAAGACCGAGUCUAAAGAUUCAAUUAUCUCUAGCAACAUUGUAGCUGAAUGUUCAUCAAAAUGUUCUCUUUUUGAGGUUUCAAAUGUAACGGAAAAAGGAUUAUGUGCCUCCAUGAUGUUCACUCCCAUUCAGCCUGAAAGUAUCGAGCGAACCCGUCUUGUUGAAACUCAAGGGAAGCAGAAGGUGAAGAUGUGUCGUCAAUUGAGAGUCAGAAUCCAUUUGUGA
rnacentral:lncRNA from 1 species